UGAACGCUGGCGGCGUGCCUAAUACAUGCAAGUCGCGCGAACAGACGCGGAGCUUGCUCCUCUGACGUUAGCGGCGGACGGGUGAGUAACACGUGGAUAACCUACCUAUAAGACUGGGAUAACUUCGGGAAACCGGAGCUAAUACCGGAUAAUAUAUUGAACCGCAUGGUUCAAUAGUGAAAGACGGUUUUGCUGUCACUUAUAGAUGGAUCCGCGCCGCAUUAGCUAGUUGGUAAGGUAACGGCUUACCAAGGCGACGAUGCGUAGCCGACCUGAGAGGGUGAUCGGCCACACUGGAACUGAGACACGGUCCAGACUCCUACGGGAGGCAGCAGUAGGGAAUCUUCCGCAAUGGGCGAAAGCCUGACGGAGCAACGCCGCGUGAGUGAUGAAGGUCUUCGGAUCGUAAAACUCUGUUAUUAGGGAAGAACAAAUGUGUAAGUAACUAUGCACGUCUUGACGGUACCUAAUCAGAAAGCCACGGCUAACUACGUG
rnacentral:rRNA from 1 species